GUGCUCACUUUGCAGCACAUAUGCUAAAACUGGAACAAUAGAGAGAAGAUUAGCAUGGCCCCGGCACAAAUGUGAUGUGCAAAUUCAUAAACUCUUCCAUAUUUAU